GAUGAACGCUGGCGGCGUGCCUAAUACAUGCAAGUCGAACGCUUCACUUCGGUGAAGAGUGGCGAACGGGUGAGUAAUACCUAAGUAACCUGGCAUCUACAGGGGGAUAACUGAUGGAAACGUCAGCUAAGACCGCAUAGGUGUAGAGAUCGCAUGAACUCUAUAUGAAAAGUGCUACGGGACUGGUAGAUGAUGGACUUAUGGCGCAUUAGCUAGUUGGUAGGGUAACGGCCUACCAAGGCGACGAUGCGUAGCCGACCUGAGAGGGUGACCGGCCACACUGGGACUGAGACACGGCCCAGACUCCUACGGGAGGCAGCAGUAGGGAAUUUUCGGCAAUGGGGGAAACCCUGACCGAGCAACGCCGCGUGAAGGAAGAAGUAAUUCGUUAUGUAAACUUCUGUCAUAGAGGAAGAACGGUGGAUAUAGGGAAUGAUAUCCAAGUGACGGUACUCUAUAAGAAAGCCACGGCUAACUACGUG
rnacentral:rRNA from 1 species